rnacentral:rRNA from 1 species
GCAGUCGAACGAGAAUCUACUGAAGGAGGAUUCGUCCAACGGAAGUAGAGGAAAGUGGCGGACGGGUGAGUAACGCGUGAGGAACCUGCCUUGAAGAGGGGGACAACAGUUGGAAACGACUGCUAAUACCGCAUGAUGCAUAGGGGUCGCAUGAUCUUUAUGCCAAAGAUUUAUCGCUUCAAGAUGGCCUCGCGUCUGAUUAGCUGGUUGGCGGGGUAACGGCCCACCAAGGCGACGAUCAGUAGCCGGACUGAGAGGUUGAACGGCCACAUUGGGACUGAGAUACGGCCCAGACUCCUACGGGAGGCAGCAGUGGGGAAUAUUGGGCAAUGGGCGCAAGCCUGACCCAGCAACGCCGCGUGAAGGAAGAAGGCUUUCGGGUUGUAAACUUCUUUUAAGAGGGAAGAGCAGAAGACGGUACCUCUAGAAUAAGCCACGGCUAACUACGUGCCAGCAGCCGCGGUAAUACGUAGGUGGCAAGCGUUGUCCGGAUUUACUGGGUGUAAAGGGCGUGCAGCCGGGUCUGCAAGUCAGAUGUGAAAUCCAUGGGCUCAACCCAUGAACUGCACUUGAAACUGUAGAUCUUGAGUGUCGGAGGGGCAAUCGGAAUUCCUAGUGUAGCGGUGAAAUGCGUAGAUAUUAGGAGGAACACCAGUGGCGAAGGCGGAUUGCUGGACGAUAACUGACGGUGAGGCGCGAAAGUGUGGGGAGCAAACAGGAUUAGAUACCCUGGUAGUCCACACUGUAAACGAUGAAUACUAGGUGUGCGGGGACUGACCCCCUGCGUGCCGCAGUAAACACAAUAAGUAUUCCACCUGGGGAGUACGAUCGCAAGGUUGAAACUCAAAGGAAUUGACGGGGG